AUGGCAGAGCUACACGAAGGUGCAGCUGCUGGAGCAUGGGCUUACCAGAAGCAUAAACAAAAGACUAAUGUUCAUAUUAUGGCUCUGAACCUUGUUAGAGGCAUUCCAUUGACCCCAAGAGAGAAGGAAACAAUGCUUGAUAUUCUCACUCCUCCUGCCUCACAGGGAUUUAAAUCGCAGGAAGUUAAGACUUCCUUCUGGUGGAGGAGAUUGAGUGGUCAAUGA